rnacentral:rRNA from 1 species
AGGAAUAUUGGUCAAUGGCCGAGAGGCUGAACCAGCCAAGUCGCGUGAGGGAAGACGGCCCUACGGGUUGUAAACCUCUUUUGUCGGGGAGCAAAGCGAACCACGUGUGGUUCAUUGAGAGUACCCGAAGAAAAAGCAUCGGCUAACUCCGUGCCAGCAGCCGCGGUAAUACGGAGGAUGCGAGCGUUAUCCGGAUUUAUUGGGUUUAAAGGGUGCGCAGGCGGAGGUGCAAGUCAGCGGUCAAAUUGCGGGGCUCAACCCCGUACUGCCGUUGAAACUGCAUCCCUUGAGUGCGCGAGAAGUAUGCGGAAUGCGUGGUGUAGCGGUGAAAUGCAUAGAUAUCACGCAGAACUCCGAUUGCGAAGGCAGCAUACCGGCGCGCAACUGACGCUCAUGCACGAAAGCGUGGGUAUCGAAC